CGCCUUGCAGCCGAGCAGCCACAACACCCAGCAGCGCCGGUGCCCCCACCUCCCAUCUUGGCCGCAUCAAGCACCGCCGAUGCAGUCACGCGCGCCCCCCAGCCACCUCCAAUUUCUGCGUGAGCACUGCCGCCGAACCACCAGUAGCCGCACCAUCUUCCUCGCCGUGCCGCCUCUUCUAGCACUGGAUCCGGCGAGAUCCGUGUCAUCCAGAGCUUCAGUCACCGGAUCUAGCCCGCCCCACCUCGCAACGCCGCCCCACCAUGGCCGGGGUUGCUGCACCACCCCAUGAUGGCCGGCCUCCACGUCCCCGCGAUGGACGCGGCCGUAGCUCCAUCCCGCGCCGCCCCGACCGCGGCCCCAGCUCCACCCCGUAUGGCUUCCACGGCCCCGCCCCGACUGCGGCCCCAGCUUCGCCCCGGAUAGCCUCCACGGCCCCGCCCUGCUUGCAGCUCGAAGUCGGUGAGGAGCUUGGUCUGCAGCUCGGUUGCUUGUCUAUUUGCAGUACACGCCGCUGGCAAUGCAAUCCGAUGAUUAUUUGACCGUUCCCGAGUAUUCGUUGUUCGAUUUGGGCUGGCCGGAGAACCACUGCAUCUCCCUCCCCUAGAGCCUUUUUCCUUUGCUCCCCACUGACAGACAGACAACCACGCAAGGAGAGGAAAAGAACAUCGACGAGAGCCCAAAGACGCUAUGAUGGAAUUCAGUCCACCUCGUCGGAGAAGGAUGGCAGAGUGACGGCUUGCAAUACAGUGGAGCACUGCUCGCCAUGCGAGUGUGCAGUGUGGAAGGCAACGUCGUGCGGUUCUCCGUGUGAAUCCCUUCCAGGGUUGUUGCUAUUCAAAAACAUUUUCUAGUGUUUUUUGGAAAAUUUAAUGAGUCUUUAUCAAUGCAGUGCAGUUUAGAAGCUUCCGUCCAGUAUAUUUUUCAAAUGGAUAUUUUGCAUGUAUUCGAGACAUGGAGAAAAGAGCAAAUGCGGUCCGAUUGCAUUGUUCUCAUUUUUGUUUUGUUUCUAGGGGAGAAUGUGAGAAGAUGCACUGCGGUUCAGUCCCCUCUAGGAAGUACAUCGACAGCAAAGGUGCAUGGGGUGGGCGAGUCCCUUGCGCCGAACUCCCUGUGUCUCGUGAGCGUAGCUUCAAAAAAGUGCAAAGAAUAUUUUUUUCGACGAUGUAGUUUGUUGUGUAUGUUGGAGAGGUUCGCUCCUCCGCGCGGGUCCUUUUUCUGAUGUACUAGUUCGCUUCUUUCACAAGUGAACUCUUUAACUUUUUUUUGUUUUUGUUUUUGUUUGGUCCAGUGCAGUUCCAUAUGUUUGUUGGAGAGGUUCAUUUUCAUGAAAAAAGGGUUGAUGUAGCCGGUUGAUGCAGCCCAUUACACCCAUGUUUUUCAUUUGUUGGAAAAAUAAUUUGCUGUGCACUCAAUAACGCAGCCCAUUA